UACGUAGGGUGCAAGCGUUGUCCGGAAUUAUUGGGCGUAAAGAGCUCGUAGGCGGUCUGUCGCGUCGGAUGUGAAAAUCCAGGGCUCAACCCUGGACCUGCAUUCGAUACGGGCAGACUAGAGUUCGGUAGGGGAGACUGGAAUUCCUGGUGUAGCAGUGAAAUGCGUAGAUAUCAGGAGGAAUACCGAUGGCGAAGGCAGGUCUCUGGGCUAUAACUGACGCUCAUGCACGAAAGCGUGGGGAGCAAACAGG
rnacentral:rRNA from 1 species